GAUGAACGCUGGCGGCGUGCCUAAUACAUGCAAGUCGAGCGAACAGACGAGGAGCUUUCUCCUCUGACGUUAGCGGCGGACGGGUGAGUAACACGUGGAUAACCUACCUAUAAGACUGGGAUAACUUCGGGAAACCGGAGCUAAUACCGGAUAAUAUAUUGAACCGCAUGGUUCAAUAGUGAAAGACGGUUUUGCUGUCACUUAUAGAUGGAUCCGCGCCGCAUUAGCUAGUUGGUAAGGUAACGGCUUACCAAGGCAACGAUGCGUAGCCGACCUGAGAGGGUGAUCGGCCACACUGGAACUGAGACACGGUCCAGACUCCUACGGGAGGCAGCAGUAGGGAAUCUUCCGCAAUGGGCGAAAGCCUGACGGAGCAACGCCGCGUGAGUGAUGAAGGUCUUCGGAUCGUAAAACUCUGUUAUUAGGGAAGAAAAAAAGUGUAAGUAACUAUGCACGUCUUGACGGUACCUAAUCAGAAAGCCACGGCUAACUACGUG
rnacentral:rRNA from 1 species